UACGGGAGGAUGCAAGUGUUAUCCGGAAUCACUGGGCGUAAAGCGUCUGUAGGUGGUUCGAAAAGUCCACUGUUAAAAAUUGAGGCUUAACUUCAAAGAUGCCGUGGAAACUUUCAAACUAGAGUAUGGUAGGGGUAGAGGGAAUUUCCAGUGGAGCGGUGAAAUGCGUAGAUAUCGGGAGGAACACCGAUGGCGAAGGCG
rnacentral:rRNA from 1 species